rnacentral:tRNA from 1 species
GUUAAUGUAGCUUAAACACUCAAAAGCAAGGCACUGAAAAUGCCUAGACGGGUUAUACUCCCCAUAAAACA